rnacentral:rRNA from 1 species
CCUACGGGUGGCAGCAGUGAGGAAUAUUGGUCAAUGGACGAGAGUCUGAACCAGCCAAGUAGCGUGAAGGAUGACUGCCCUAUGGGUUGUAAACUUCUUUUAUAAAGGAAUAAAACCAGGCACGUGUGCCUUUCUGCAUGUACUUUCUGAAUAAGGUCCGGUUAACUCCGUGCCAGCAGCCGCGGUAAUCCGGAGGAGCCGAGCGUUAUCCGGAUUUAUUGGGUUUAAGGGGAGCGUAGAUGGGGUGUUAAGUCAGUUUUGAAAGUUCGCGGCUCAAGCGGAAAAUUGCAAUUGAUACUGGCAGUCUUGAGUACAGAUGAGGUAGGCGGAAUGCGUGGUGUAGCGGUGAAAUGCUUAGAUAUCACGAAGAACCCCGAUUGCGAAGGCAGCUUACGAAACUGUGACUGACAUUGAUGCACGAAAGUGUGGGUAUCAAACAGGAUUAGAUACCCGGGUAGUC